GUCUCCGUGGCGCAAUUGGUUAGCGCGUUCGGCUGUUAUUUAUGAGGUUACCGAGAGGCUGACAGUUCGAGCCUGUCCGGGGACG
rfam:Pneumocystis murina B123 supercont1.9, whole genome shotgun sequence.